ACCUCACCCGCGCUCUCGUCUCCUCCUCUCUCUCAGUUUCUGGCUCAUAGCGCCAUCAGCGCCACAUCCGAAAGCAGACGAACUUUCCCUCUGCACGAGCGCGUCCACGCAACGAAUUUAUUUGGUCCGAAUGUCGCCUCCACAGCGAUGGAACAGAACUGAAGAUCUAAAUGGAGACAGUAUCCUCCCCAUGCUGUUUAAAUAUUCUGCGGUUAUUCGUGAUUGGUUUAUUCGUUAAAUGGGUUUAGCAAACCGAAAGAAACGAAGCGGCCUCGAGCGGGGCGCGCUGAGUCAGCUGGUACGCAGUUGUGCGUUGCCGAGCUGUCUGUCAAAUUACCGGGUGAUGUCCGAACAGCGCCGCGGAUGAAGCCAGGGCUGAGGAAGAGGAGGACCUCGGGCCAACCAUCGCACGUCUUCAGCGUCAUCUAAGGUCCUACCAGCUUUACUCCCGAUGCCCGCCACGGCCAUUCCUCCGUGGUAAUCGGGCAGCGGCGCUUCCAUGACGCUGGGUCAGGGAUCUACGUCAGCCAGCCUGUCGCCAGCCGAAGAUUCAUGCGGUCGAAGCGCGUCCGUCGAAGUAGUCGAAACCAGCAAGCCCGGCCCGUGCCCCUGUCGCAGCAAUGCCGUCCUUUCGCUGCACCUCAGCGAUGUCUGGGUGGCGGUAGUCAAGAGCACGACGCUGUGCGUAUUCUUGCUCGCCUACACCAUGUCGUACGCCAUGAGGCUGCUCAUCACCCAAGACCUGUUGCUCACCAAGACGUGUCGAUACCACCUCGGCCUGGAUCCGGCCCUGUGCGCCAACUUCUCAAACUUCUCCGAGACCAAGAACGUCAUCGAGAGGGUGGCCAACAACUACAGUCUCUUCAUUCUACUGGUUCAGCUGACGCCCGCCGCCAUACUCUCCAUCUUUCUGGGACCUUGGUGCGACAAGUACGGUCACCGUCUGCCCAUCUUCGUAGCGACAGUAGGCGGCAUCCUGCAAGACCUCGGUACCAUCUACACCGUAGUGGACAUGGAAGCCCCGAUGUACGCGAACGUGCUAUGCAGCCUUCCCAACGGCCUCAGCGGUGGCCUAGUGUGCGUCUUCAUGGCCGUCUGCAGCAACGCCUCCAUGUCCACAAAGGGCAAUACGCGAACGCUGCAGUUCCUCAUCGUUCUCAUGUCCGCCAUGAUCGGCAUGGCCUGCGGCCAGUUCAUGGCCGGACAGAUCUUCAGGGCCGGUGGCUACCUUCCAGUCUUCAUCGUGUCCGCCAGCAUGCUUCUGGCUUGCCUGGUCUGGAUAAUGGCCAUGCUGAAGAAUCCCGUCGAAUCGGAAAAAAGUGGCUGGCGGACCAUGCUCAGGGACCUGUUGCAUUUUCGGAACUUCAUCAACGGCAUCCUCGUCUGCGUGAGGAAGAGGCCCAACAGGGGCCGCGCCCAGAUACUCCUCCUCAUGUCCUCCAUGUGCGUCAUUCUGUUCGUGUCCGAGGGCACCCGCGGCAUCAACUUCUUCUACGCGAAGAAGAUGUACGACUGGGACGUGAGCAAGUACUCGGACAUCAAUUCGUGUUUCCUGCUCUUUCGGAUGGUGAGCGUCUCGUUUUUUGUGAUUGUGGCCAACCUGGCCCUGCGCCUGUCUGACUGUACCAUAGCGUUCAUCGGGAUCUGCGGAGGCAUCCUCCAGAGCAUCGCUACGGGCGUGGCCAACAACGAAGUUCUGUUCUAUGCUACAUCUUGGGAACGCUAGACGCCUCUGCACCCAUCGGCAUCAAAUCGCACGCUUCGAAACUUCUUGACCGGGACGAAACCACCCAGGUGUUUUCCGUGUGGAUCGCCAUGGAGGCCCUGACGCCGAUCGUGGGCUACGUGUUCGGCUCCCAGGUCUACAACGCCUGCAUC
rnacentral:misc_RNA from 1 species